UACGUAGGGACCAAGCGUUGUUCGGAUUUACUGGGCGUAAAGGGCGCGUAGGCGGCAAUUCAAGUCAGCUGUGAAAUCUCCGGGCUUAACUCGGAACGGUCAGCUGAUACUGCUUGCUAGAGUGCAGAAGGGGCAAUCGGAAUUCUUGGAUGUAGCGGUGAAAUGCGUAGAGAUCAGGAAGAACACCGGUGGCGAAAGCGCUCUGCGUCA
rnacentral:rRNA from 1 species